rnacentral:lncRNA from 1 species
CACAGCCACAGGAACACUACACAUCAGAGAAGCAUCUGUAAACUAUGCUGCUGCCACCAACACUGGAUCCUUAACCCACUGAGUGAGGCCAGGGAUGGAACCCACAUCCAAGAAGACAGCAUUGGGUCCUUAACUCACUGAGUCACAAUGGGAACUCCUGAUCUUUGUAUUUAAGUGGCUUCCCAGACCAACAUAAUUGGGUAAAAACAGAAAAGACCUACGCUGAGUGUCAUAAGUUUUUCUACUUUACCAAAAGGUGAGAACUGCCUGAUGUCUUCUUUUAACAAAAAAUAAUUCCCCUGUACUUAUGUAGCCCUGAUCUUGCCAGAUCUGCUUGGUCAUAAUUGGUGGUGAGACUGCCAGCAAAGCAAGUAAGAGACAAUGGUGAGCUUUAAGAGCUUGGGACAUCUUGGUCUGUGAUCACAACUCAGGCAGGUAACUUGCCCUGCAUUAUGCUCUGCUGAGCCACAUAGCAGUGAUCACCCAGCAGUCAUAAGGGAAAAGUUGGUUUAAAUUGUGUUAUGAAUGUCCAGGUUAUAGAUAUGGAAUAGUAUCACCUCUAAAGAGUCUUUUUUGCCCAUCAGGUAUAAUACUAUUUUAUUUUAUUUUAUUUUUAGGGCUGCAUCCACAACAUAUGCAAGUUCCCAGGCUAGUGGUUGAAUCAGAGCUACAGCUGUCAGCCACAGCCACAGCUACAGCAAUGCUGGAUCCGAGCCACCUCUGUGACCUACACCACAGCUCAAGGCAACGCUGGACCCUUAACCCAUGAGUGAGGCCAAGGAUAGGACCUGCAUCCCCAUGGAUACUAGUUGGGUUCAUUUCCACUGUGCCACAAUGAGAACUCCCUCAGGCAUAAUUCUUAAGGAAGGAGAAAUGGAUGAUAGAGUAGAGGACCACUCAAUAUUUAUGCUUAAGUGGAUAGUAUCAACUACCUUCCUUAAACCUAUCCUCAAAGAACAACAUACAACUCAGGAACAUUUCAUCUUUUGAUGAAAUUGACCUGUCAUCCUCUUCUCACCUGGCCUCCCACUCACUGAGUUGUUACUUGCAGGCAGGAUCUUUGCUUAUUCAUUUGCUCAGUAGUAAUGUUUGUUGAAUGACUAACUCUGCCCUUGAAUUUCGAUGGUGAUUUGCUUAUUUAAGGUGAUGUCUCACAUAUUGUUGUUGUUAACAUUACUGUGUAGGAAUAAUUUUUCUAUAAUUUUUUUCACCAUAUCCAUUGGGAUCAAGAGUGCCAAGUGUGGGAAAUUUAGUGUCCUUGUGGCUUAGGAAUCAUACUUUGACUUUCAAGUAAAUACAGUAAAUAGUGAUAAACACCAGUAAACAUUUGAUGAUAUUGCCUUUUUUCUACUUCUUUUUUACUUUCCAAAAAUAGAUUUAUGUCCCUUUCUGUUCAACUGUAAGUUAUUUAAGUAUUUACCUGGGAGUUAUUUCAAGUAUCAUCUCCAUUUCUCAUUCACUAUCUAUUGAGGACAAAAGAAUGUUGACCCAAAGAGGUCAAGGUGCUUUGAUUUAGACGUUUGCUGGCUGUAUUUGACACAUCUCCCAGCUGACUCAGCAAAACAGAUCUCUGAUAAAUCCUGUGGGAAUUCUAGAUUCAAUGAGAUAUAAAUGCAAUUCACAAAUAUGCAGAAAACUGAAUGGAGUUUUCUUCUGUUUUGACUGCCCUUUGUGUUCUUUCCACUCAAAUUUUUUGCACUCACAUUAACAAUUCAAAAAUUAAAAUCACAUGAAUUCUGUUUUUUUUUAAUUUACUAAUGAAAUUAACUUUAGUGAUAUGCAACAAUAACAGGUUUCUGGGAUACAAAAUCUAUGAUAACAUUGUAAUUUAUUUUAUUUUUUCACUUUUAACGUACCAUUGAAGUAUAAUUGAUUGAUAAUGUGAUAAUUUCAGCUGUAAAACAAAAUGAAAAGUCAACAUGAAUUCUGUACACGAUAAAUACUGAGUGUGCAGUUGGAAACAGUAUUCUAAUUUACACUCUGUGUUACAAGCGGAAAUAAACCUUAAUCUGUUAAUAAAUAAAUAAACCUUAAUCCUGUUAAUAAAUAAAUAAACCUUAAUCCUGUCCAUGAAUUUCAUGGACUCCCCUGUCUUUUAUGAUUUCUAAAAGAGAAAUUCCUCAGCUUUCCUGUGGAAUCAGGAAUUUAACAGGAAAUCUGUUAAGUCAGGUAUUUAAUGAUCUCUGGGCUAUGCAUGUAACUUACCAGAGAAACAGAAAACAGACAGAUUUCCUGUUUAUAGUUUAACACUCCAGACCUAGCCAUUUCAAGAGCAAGGAAGGGCAAGUUAGAUGUGACAGCACAUUAUAAUGGCAUCUUAUUAUUUUUUGUUAUCUGUAAAAUUCCUAGGAAAAAGGAUUUACCUUGACUAACCUGAGUAAAAAUCUAACCAUCUGUUUAUUUUCAAACUCAGCAUGGAUGGAACCUCAGUGUGCAGGAGAUUGUGGUCAGAAUUGAAAUGGUCAUAAUUCAUGCAUUUAUUUAUCCAGCAAAUAUUUACAAAGCCUCUUUAGAACUCAAACACAGUGAGUGUAAAUGUUUUAAAUUAAAAAUUUCUUCAGUUGAGCUCUCAAACUAGAACUGUAGAUGUCAAUACAUUGCUAUCUUAUCAUGGUCACACAGUGAAGGGAAUUAUUGAAUUCUUUUUCUUGGAAAGGAGAAAAAGUUAGCAUGGGGUUGAUAGCUCUGUAAAUAUUUUUUACAAAAAAAAAUUGUAAAUCCUAAAAUUGAACCCUAUCAUCAACUUACUCUACAUUAUUUUACAACUUAAUGUAGUUUAUAUACAUUAAUGAUGCAUUCAUCAUCUGAAAACAUGUAAUUAUAGAAGACCAAGAAUAAUAACACUCUGAUGCCAAAUGCCAGAUUGUGCAAAAAUUCAUGUCCAUCUGGAAUUUCAGCAACGGAGGGAUAUUAUCUGGUCUUCUUAAUGAUGUGAAACUUUAGACUUGUCAGAGAAGCAGUUUUCAAAAUGCUUUAACUGCAGAAACAUCAAUCCUUUGGUGCUGCUGGAAUUGUCCCCCUGUCCUACUAGGCCAGUUGAAACUGUUACACAAGUUAGUUACUAAAAGAAGGAUAAUAUAUUUCAGUAGCUAGUAGCUAGUCAUAGAACUUGGAACCUGAGAAUUAUGCAUUCCAUCUCUGAUCUUUUUUUUAAUAGACAGUAAAAGGUGAGAUGUUAUUUCAAAUUUAGUCCCAUACCACAUUUUUGAGUAAAUUGACCUUACUUUCUAAAUUCUGCUGAAAGAUGAUUUCUUUUUGGUGAAGGUCUAGCAUUAUUUUAUAGUUUGUUUUCCCUGUUGAUCCACAUUUUGCUAUUUUUAAACCUUCACUUUUCCAUAUGUCAUGGAGAAUUGGCCAAUUAUUUUGCCUCCCAUGGAAAUAACAAUGAGGUAAACACUUCCUUCCCUAACAAAGGACCUGAUUACAUCUGGGUUGAUUUUAGAGUAGUAUUUUCACUCUCUGUUGUUAUUUAGGAUCACACGGGGAACAUUUGGUAUUUUCACUCUCUGUUGUUAUUUAGGGUCACAUGGGGAACAUUUGGUACUCCUGGCUUUGAUGACCUUUGACUCUGUUUUAAUUGGUAGCCACAUAAGAGACUACAUUAAAAUUUUAACUUUGAAAGUAUUUGGCACAGUGAUUCUCACCCCUUCCUGGGUUGUUCUAGGAAAAAUACCUAUGCCUGGGUCUCACGCAUCACCUAGAUUAUGACUCAAUGUGUCUGCGGUGCCAUCUAGUAAAGGAAUGUUUAAAAACUUCCAGGUGAUUCUAAUGUGCAGCCACAUUUGGAGAGGUACCACAUGGUUUACAAGAAAUCAUCCUAAAAGCUAAGCAACAGUGUCAUUUUAAGAAAUCACCAGGUAAAUCUUUAGUCAAGAAUUUGAAAUAUUAUGGUCAACAUGAAUCUAAGACUCUUACUAAUAAAAUCCAAUAACUAUGCUACUUUUAGACAAUAAUGUGUUAGUGAGUGUUUAAAACUAUUUCCUCUGGCACAAAUUGUAAAUCGACUGUACUUUAAUAAGAAAACAAAACAAACAAAUAAAAAACCCAUCUCCUCAAGAAACAAAGCUCUAAUUGGUUAUGUUUUAACUCUCUCCCUGGUGUAAAUAUUCCUAUUAUGGGUGAUCUCAAGUACCAAUGGUUUAAGAAUCAGCUUGCCAAAUUUAUGAAAAUGAUAUAAUCAGCUCUUUUGAGACAGUUUUAAGCCAGUUCCAGCACAUGGCUGCAUAUUAGAGAACUGACUUCUAAGAGACUUGACAUCAGAUAAAUUACUUAUCCUUUGGGGAUUAAAUGUAUUUAUUUGGGCUUUGUUUAGGUUACAGUAGAUAAUCAUCAAUUAUCAUUUUGCUUAGAUUAGCGGAGUUAUAUAGAAAUGUUUGUUAGUUUUUCUUUUUCUUUUAUUUUUUGGCUGUGUCUAUGGCAUGUAGAAGUUCCCAGGCCAGAGAUCAAACCCUAGCCACAGAAGUGAUGCUGACAGAUCCCUAACCCACUAGGCUACCAGGGAACUUGUUAGUUUUCUAUGGAUUCAUUUUAAUAGGCUUCUGGACUAUUUCUACUUUUGUGGAAAUAAUGUUCUUAGUAAAGUUAGUCACUAGGUGUACAAAUCCACAUCCGCAGCUCUGAGAUCCUGUGAAUUUCUCAUGUUUGAACAUUAUGUGCAUCCCUAAGAAAUAAUAACAAAAUACUUGUAAUAUGUUUUUCCUCUGCCAACCACUGUUCUAAGCACUUUACAUAUGUUAAUUUAUCUUUUGAUCUCAACUCUUUGAUGUAUAGUUUAUUAUUAUCCCCAUUUUUACAGAUAAAGAUACUGAGGAUUUGGGAGGUUAAGUAACUUACCCAAUGACGCAUAGCUAGUAAGUGGCAAGUUGGAAUAUGAACUAGGCAGUCUGACUACUCUUAAGCAGCUUAUAUCAAAAAUAACUAGAGAGACAGGGGAUUAAGAUGGUGGAAUAGAAGGACUAGAGCUCAACUUCUCUCCUAAAAACAACAAAAUUCACAACUAAAGGCUGAGAAAUCUUCAACCAAAUGGACCAGAAACCUUCAAAAAGAUAUCCUACUCCAGGAGACAAAGAGGAGGCCACAUCAAGAGGUAGGAGGGGCAAUUACCUGAUAUAAGCAAACCCAUACCUCUUGGGUGGGAAACCCCACAGACUGGAAACUAACUGGUUCACAGAGACUCACCUACAGGAGUGAGAGUUCUGAGCCCCACGUGUGGGGAUCUGGCACUGGGAGAAAGAGCCCCUGGAGCAUCUGGCAUUGAAAGCUAGUGGGGCUUGUGCACAGGAGCUCCACAGGACUGGGGGAAACAGAGACCCCAUUCUUAAAAGGCACACACAGACUUUCACGUGCACUGGGUCCCAGGGCAAAGCAAAGUUUCCAUAGGAAUCUGCAUCAAACCUGACUUCAACUCUUGGAGGACCUCCUGAGAAAACAGGGGUGAAUGUGGCUUGUUGUGAGGGAAGGACAUUGAAAGAAAAGCUCUUGGGAAUAUUCAGCUGCUGUGCCUUUCUCUGGAGGUGACCAUUUUGGGAACAUCUGGCCCACCCAUUAGCACUAAGAAGCUCCAGGGCAAACAACAAUCCAGAUGGGAUCACAGCCCCACUCCUCAGUAAACAGGGAUGCCUAAAGACCCCUCAGGCACACAGCUGCCUCUAAUCCCAUCCAGAGACAAAGCCCCACCAGAGGGAUUAGAAUCAGCUCUACCUACCCGUGGGCAGGCAUCAGCCCCUCCCAUCAGGAAGCCUACAGCAAGCCCCCAUACCAACUUCAGCCACAAGGGGCAGACACCAGAAGUAAGAGAGGCUACAACUCUAUUAUCUGUAAGAAGGUCACCACACCAAAAACCUAUAAAAAUGAAAAGAGAGAGAACUAUAACUCAGAUGAGGGAGAAAGAAAAAACCCCAGAAAAUCAGCUAAGUGAUCAGGAGAUUCUUAGCCUCUGGGAAAAAGACUUUAGACUGCCGAGGCAAGACAUUGGAAAUAAUCUGGAGGCAAAGAUGGAUAGCUUACAGGAAACACUGACUGAAGAGAUACAAGAUAUAAAACUUAAACAAGGAGUUCCCGUCAUGGCACAGUGGUUAACGAAUCUGACUAGGAACCAUGAGGUUGCGGGUUCAGUCCCUGCCCUUGCUCAGUGGGUUAAGGAUCCGGCGUUGCCAUGAGCUGUGGUGUAGGUUGCAGACGCGGCUUGGAUCCUGCGUUGCUGUGGCUCUGGCGUAGGCUGGCGGCUACAGCCCCGAUUAGACCCCAGCCGGGGAACCUCCAUAUGCCAUGGGAGCGGCCCAAAGAAAUAGC